rnacentral:rRNA from 1 species
UACGUAGGUGGCAAGCGUUGUCCGGAUUUACUGGGCGUAAAGAGCGCGCAGGCGGUCGUGCAAGUCGCGUGUGAAAGCCCCCGGCUCAACUGGGGAGGGUCACGCGAUACUGCUCGACUUGAAGGCAGGAGAGGGAAGUGGAAUUCCCGGUGUAGUGGUGAAAUGCGUAGAUAUCGGGAGGAACACCAGUGGCGAAGGCGACUUCCUGGACCGACACUGACGCUGAGGCGCGAAAGCUAGGGGAGCAAACGGG